rnacentral:lncRNA from 1 species
UUUUUGAAGCUAGGAGUCCCAAGUUCAGCUAGCUUGUUCUCAUCCUCCUCUUCCACCUCAAUGUAUAAUUGAGCGCGUUGGAAGAGGUCGGGUAGAGAACUCACCUUGUAGAGAGUCAGAUUUUGGGCCAGAGGGGAGUAGGGGACUAAUCCUCUAAUGUAUCCCGCUAUGGCCACACUUGGGAUUAGGUCGUUCACCUCUGUCAUCAUUGUUGUGAACUUGACCGUAUAAUCCCGCAGAGACAGCUUAUCCUGUCUAAGUGCGUUGGCACUGUGUUUGAUCCUUAUCAUCCCCACAUGCUGGGCGAUGAAUUUGGAUGAAUGGUCUGCGAAGCUGGUGACUGAGCCAGCUGGCAGACCAGAGAACCAUCGAUAAGCACUGCCCUUGAGAGUGCCGGAGAAUGCCCGACAUAGCAGCCCAUCAUUGAUGGUUUGCGGUUCCAGGACGUUGAGGUAGAGAUUCACGUGAUCUUGUGGAUCACUUGAACCAUCAUAUGCCUCGAUCCUGGGUACCCGCCAGUUGGGUGGGAAAGAUCCCUUUAAAAGGUCCUCGCGAAGAGGAGCACUUUUAACCCUUAGGAUCUCGUGCGGAUUGCCGACAGCUGGGUCGGUAGCCAACUUCCGCCGAAGAUCCUUUACAAACCGAGUAGUAAGAGUCCUUUCGGAGCGACUCUUACUGGGUCCCGUUUUGAGACGGGAACUCUGUUUGGUUUUCUCCGCAGAUGGAGAAUAGAUGGACCCAGAUUCAUCCGCUCUUUCACGGAUGGUGGUGGUCCUAUGACUCCUCGCUUUCUCGAGGUUAGUUAUCCUUCUUUCUAUGUUGUCCAUGAAGCUGAACAACCUUUCCUCCAAGGUGGGUGGAGCCUUGGGUACUAUGUGUUCCUCGACGUGUGGAGGAACCGAGUUUGUUUCAACAGGUUGAGCAUUGCUAGGUCCCUUUGGUCGGAAUUGCUCGCCCUGUUCUAGCUCAGCUGCUGGCAUUUUCCCCUUACUUCUUGUGGCGUAAGGGUGCUUUUGUUUUUCGAUGAUUGCCAUGAAAACAAAAGCGAAGAAGUACCAAAGCGGAGAGGUACCUGACUGAGCCUGUCGGAAAAACAAAAGACAAGUCGGCGAGUUAGGGGUUAACUCGGCGACUUUGAGAUUUUGUGGUUUUCCCGAACAAGGUCGUGGACAGCACUCUUAGCUAGCAGACGAUAUUCCGGAUCGGGCGAUUGUCAAGGAUAAGUCAGCGAUUUAAGGCUAAAUCGGACCUGAACCGAGAAUCGGACGAUCUAACUCGGCGAUUUUUUGACAAACUCGGCGAACCCUCUAGGAGAGCUCGAGCCGGAUUUUUAAAAAAUCGCGAUUACGACGGGAUACCGGUGGUUCGGUAGUCCCACAGACGGCGCCAGCUGAUGAAGCACUGAAUCUGCUACCAGGGCUCGCGGUGGUGCGAGGUGAUGCCGGAGGCUUUGGAGUCCACGACGCACGCUUUACGUCAAAUACCUGCAAGUGGAAACUAGGCGAUUCUAGUGUGAAUCGGCGAGUUUCGUAGUGAUGCUCUGGUGUGAGAGUGGAACUUGAAUCGUGCCUUUGAGUGUCCCCUUGAGACCCUUUUUAUAGGAUCUCGGAGGGCGCAAUCAAAGGCGGACAUCGCGCCUAUGGUCAUAUAUGGUAACAUUUAUGACGUUGGCUGGCGGCGAGUAACGGUCGUAAGUCGUCGAUUCAGGUAUGGAAGUCGUCUAGUUAGGGCUAACUCGCCGAGUUUCUAGGGCCAAGAUGUGCAGUCUACCAUACUGUCGAUCUUGCCUUAACUCGGCGAGUUAUCCUUUAUGUCGGCGACUUGGUAGUCCAAUUGGGCGACUUACGGGCUAACUCGGCGAUCUGGACGAUGAACGUGUUUCGCACCGUGGGAGCUCUCCUGCCAUAGCGACGGAGCCCUAGUCCUUGUUGAAAGGCGUUGCUGGGAAUGACUGCCGUAAUCAGGCAUGUCUCACCAGAUAUAAUGUAAAAAUUAUAUAUAACCCCCUAUAUAAUUAAAAAUUACAUACAUGAUAUUGUUCUUUACUCGGGAUAUGUGAUAAUGUCCAAGAUAAAAAAAUAUCGAGUCUGUCAGGAAACCCCAAGACCUUCACAGAAUGGGUAAACUCAAUAUCUAAGAACGAUCAUCAACAGAUUUGAUUGAAACCCAAUUUAUCAGUCAAUCACGCUCUGGUCAAAGGAUUAUUUUUCAUCCACCAUUUGUUGACUAGUCUCCUUAUUACUUAAGGGAAUAGUAGUACGAUCCUAUAGAACAGGUCGUGUUUAAUUUCAAGAAUGAUUGCUAUAUGUAUCAUUCUUUUUUUUAAUUAUUCUUCGAUGCGGAACUAUGUUUAAAAAAACAAUUUAGCUAAUUAUAGGAGUCUUUAAUUUUAAACAUGCAAUAUUUCAGGUAAAAAAUUCUUAUAUGAUUUCCUUUUCAUGUUAUAAGUAUUACUAUAUAUAUUCUCAAAAUUCAAAUUUCUUGGGAGUUGGGAUAUUCUAAAGGACAUGGAUAUUGAAACAAAUAAAAUUAAAUCUAAUAAACCAUAUAUAUAUAUAUAUAUAUAUUACGAUACAAAUUUAAUUAGGUAAUUUUUAUUUUGUGUUCUUUUAGGAAAAUACAUAUUAAAAUUAAAACCCUGAUCUCUCAGAAAUUUUAAUAGUUACGAUCAUUUGAUCGAGUUAAACCUCUGUAUGAAAACAAGGACUGAAUUUUUAUGUACACACAUCAGUUGAGUCUUAAUCUAGACUGAUACCAAGUCCUUUUUCAAUCUCAAACUUGACUCAUAGUCGGUGUUCUAACUAUUAGGUGUUAUAUCAUCAAUUAGUGUUGUAAUGAAAUCUAGAAAUUUUUUCUAUAAAGGACAAAUUUUAAAUCAUUUAACAAAAUUAAAAAAUAUAUUUUUUCAAUAUAAUUAUGUUCGACGAUGUAUAGUAUUUUGGUACCGAUACAAAAUUAUCAUCGUUACUAAAUAGUAACACUAAAUAAUAAAUCUUAUUCAAUAUAUGUAACUAAAAUAUCAUUCAACCAAACAUUAUCUAUACGAUGAAAAUUCAUGUUAGCGUGGUCAGUAAGGUUUUCUUUUGCAAAAAUGUUUUUAUAUUUGAUCUCGGUCAUUUGGAUGGUAUUCAUUUAUCUUCUUUCACAAUCCCGAAUCGUAAGGUAAUUUACUUAUAUCGAAAUGGAUGGAGACGGAGGAGGAGGAGAGAACGAAAUUUUAAAUUCCCUAGAUGGACAGAUGGACGAGUAAUUGAAUAAUUGGGGUCAAUACUAUAUAGUAAUAAAUUAAUUAUUAAUACGAUUAAUAUUUAUAAACAAAAUUAGUUUAAGUUUACCCUUAAAGUUUAUAAAAGUAAAAUAUUUAAAAAUUAUUAUAAAUUUUAAAUGGUUAUAAAAACAAUGGGUAAACUUCUGGUGUGCCAUUUUCCAUGCCAUUUGAUGUACGCUGUCCGAUGGAAUUGAUUAAAUGCGAAUAGUUGGCAAUUUAAAAAUUGAUGCAAAAUGAAUGAAGUGUUUAUUGUCUACUGGAUUCACGGUUGUAACUAUAAAAACUUGUGAGGGUGUCAUAGGUAUAGGAAGAGUUGUCUUGUCAAGUAAUGUCAAGUUCAUAUACCCCGUGAUAAAGGAUCUCGUUAGCCUAUCGGUCUAAUUGUUUUAUGAACAUUCCUUAACGAAAGAUUGUUGCCACUACCCACCCACUUAAGCCUUCCAUCUACCCUGCAUUCCAUACAUUUUUCUAUUUCCUCCUUAUAUUUUAGAGAUGAUUUUCAAAUUACAAACUCACUUUGCUUAGAUAUUAUUUGGUCCAGUGGACGAUUUUUAAUGCCCACCUUCGGUCGUGCCUGCACACCCCUAGUCGUGCCUGCGCACAUUCGGUCCACGUGUCCCAGUCGUGAUCGGAUGGGCUUGAUUAUUGGGUUGUAUCAUCAUACUUUUAUUUAUUGUGUUACUCUCGUAUAUUAUGUGUCCUCUGUUAUAAAAAAAUCUAACUGUACAGGAAAAAAUUAAGGUGUUUUGAUAAUAUAGAUUGUGAUUUUGAACCCCUAAUGAGAUUUUCGGCCCGGUCUAAGUUAGCACAUUAUCAAAAAAUUAAUAACUAGAAUCAGAUUCUUUCGGCAUUUGCUUUGUUCAUUCCAUGGUCCGAUCGGAAGAGAUGCCCACUGACACAAAUUUAAGCACGAGCUGAAAAUCGGUUAGUUUUGGUUAAUGUAAGAAAACAUAAGGAUGCACAACUCGAUUAGCCCAAUUGGUAACCAUCACUAUUAACGUGGUUGAACUGAUAAAUAUUCAGGUUUCGAGUUUUAAUAUAUGGGGAAAUUAUCAGGUGCAAUAUCCUUAAUUGUGAUAAAUGCGACGCGUCAAAUCCCAGUCGUGCAUCUAACAUCCGAAGGCCUUUAUUCCGUUAGGCGGUUUUCCCUAUCCAGUGUACGAUACGUGCUCCAGAUCUCGAGGUGUCUUGGUUAAGUUUAGUGACACUGAUUUAUUUGUUGUGUAAAACAAUGUUUAAUUUUUAAUUGAAAUAGUAUUUUAUAGUUGUUUUUUAUUAAAUUUCGAUUAACUAAAUUUCUUUUUGUCUGCUAAUAAAUGCUUGUCUAGACUUAGCUAUUAAAUAUUUCUUACGGCACAUCAUACGUCUACUAUUCACCACGUCUAACAUCAUUAUCAAAAAAUGUGCACGGCAGAUCUUCAUCCAAAUCUCACGCGUAUAUCUACUUUUUCCUUCCAUUUCAUUCAUUCAUAUCUAUUUUUUUGCAAUCUACAUGCUCUAUUCGUCUACAAGGUAUAUGUUUGUAUCUUUGUUACGUUUUUUUUAUUCUUGGAAUGAGGCUUGGUUGUCUUUUUAUUCUUGACGUAUGUUUUACUCUGCAAUUGAAGUAUGUUUUACUCUGCAAUUGAAGUACGUUCCACUCUGCAAUUGAAGUAUAUAUGUUUUACUAUGCAAUUGAAGUAUGUUUCGUUAAAAGCUUUUGGAAAAAACUUUCAUGACAAGAUAGUUCGACACUACAUUCAUAGACUUCCACAGCUACUAUCUAUUCUACACUGACACAGAUUCCUACAACUACUUACCUAAGACAAUCUAAUAUCCAACUUAUAUUACAUAAACAUAUGUCUCUAAUAGCUAAUUAAGUAGAGACGGUUAUCAUUCAAUCACGUUGAUUGAAGGGUCAGAUUCCAUACGACACAGAUAGCGCAAAUAAGGAUAUUGCACUGAAAACCUGUCCUAUAUAUUUAAUAUUUAUUCGAAUUCGAUUAGAGGUAUCUGAAUUCGAAUUAUUCAAGGUAUCUGAAUUCGAAUUCGUUUAGCUUCGGAUAGUACGUAUUUUAAGUAUCCGAAGGAAAGGAAUAUGAUGAUGAUGUUGUAUUAAUGUGGGGAGCUGUAGAGCACAAAUGUUACUAAGUUAGACGACGAUUAUGUGACGAUUAUGUACAGGAAAAGUGUCUAAUAGUGUUGUCAAAAACAUUAAUUAGCUAUCCUGAUAAUCUAAAUUCGUCUGAUUAGAAUUUGAAAUUUCAAAAUCCGUAUCCGAAUUCGACUAAAAUAUCUGAAUUCGGAUAUCCGAAUUCGAUUCGAAUAACAUUUAUAAAAACACCCAAAAAUAAUAUUUUAUUUUUUUUGUUAAAAAAACCUUGUAAUAUAUUUUUUUGAAGCAAACCCUGUAGUAUAUAUUUUUUUGAAGCAAACCCUGUAAUAUUUUUAACAUAUAAAAAUCCAACACAAUUUAACAUAUAAUUAUUAAAUCCAACACAAUUUAACAUAUAAAUAUUAAAUCCAACACAAUUUAACAUAACAAGUAUCCAUCCAACAGAAUUUAACAUAAGUACUUAACAAUUAACAAUCAUUCCAGCCUAAUUUAAAUUUUUAACAUAAUCUAAGCUUCAUUUUAUAAAAUCAAGAUCAUCCAAUCAUCCAUAGAGAUAUCGAACAGGUUAACCAUCAUCCAUUGAACAUCUGUUUAAAAAUAAACAAACCAAUAUUCAAGUAGGAAAUAUAAAAAUAAAGUCCAACGCAAUUAAUAUUCGCAAUUUACUUACCAUCUUACUAAUUAAAUACUUAAAGCCAAUCCUUGCAACACAAUAUUGCUUCCACUGUAUCAGAUUUUAAAGAAGAACGAGUAUCUUCAAUUAUCCGACGACCCCAACUAAAAGCGGACUCAGAAGCAACUGUAGAUACAUGAAUUGCUAAGAGAUCUUUGGCCAUCUUGCUUAAUGUUGGAAACUUCACUCCAGUAUCAUUCCACCAAUUGAAAAUAUGAAAUAGAAAUAAUGGAUCAUCUUUUCUCUCUGGAUGAAGUGGUUCAUUCAAAUUAGUGUCUAACUCUGAAAUUCGAGUUGGUCCCAGUUGUUAAUGUCAAAGAUCUCUUCCUUUUAAUUUUAUUAACUUCGGGAUGUUCAGAAUCACUUGCUAAUAUUGUAAAAGAUACGCCGCGGGUAGUAGUAUUACGCACACUAGGAUUUUCUAUAGGAGCAUCUUGAGAUAUAGUGAUAUGUGUAUCUCCAAUACUUUGAACGUCUAUUAUGUCUCUAACCACACCUAAUAUAAUUUACAUAAAGAUUUUUUAAGAGACAUAAAUAUCAGAAUUCAGAAACAUAAAUUAAUAUCAGAAACAUAAAGAUUGUUUAAGAAACAUAAACAUAAAAAUCAGAAACAUAAAAAUCGGAAACAUAAAUAUCAGAAACAUAAUUAUCAGAAACAAAAAUAUCAGAAUAAGAACCUUAAUUUAUACCCAAAAAAAUUUACAUUACCUUCAUCCUUCCCAUGUACAUUAGACAUUGAGUCUAUUAAAUAAGUAAACUAUUUAGGGAUUCAAAUCUGAAAAUGAAUAAAAAUAAAUUUUAGCAAUUAAAGUAUGUUUUACUAUGCAAUUAAAGUAUGUUUGCAUUGAAGAUUUUUGGGAAAUAAACUGUCACGACAAGACAGUUCGACACUACAUUCAUAGACUUCCACAACUACUAUAUGUUCUACACUGACACAGAUUCCUACAACUACUUACCCAAGACAAUCUAAUAUCCAACGUAUAUUACAUAAACAUAUGUCUUCAAUAGCUAAUUAAGUAGAGAUGAUUGUCAUUCAAUCAUGUUGAUCGAAGGGUCAGAUUCCAUACGGCACAGAUAGCGCAAAUAAGGAUAUUGCAAUGAAAACCUGUCCUAUAUAUUUAAUAUUUAUUCGAAUUCGAUUAAUUUUAAGUAUCCGAAGGAAAGGAAUAUGAUGAUGAUGUUGUAUUGUGGGGAGCUGUAGAGCACAAAUGUUACUAAGUUAGACGUGUACAUCAAUCAUGUACAGGAAAAGUGUCUAAUAGUGUUGUCAAAAACAUUAAUUAACUAUGUAAAAGAAAUCUUUAAAAAUAUAUUAUAGGUGGUCAGUUUAUAAUCUAGAUUAGACAUGGACUAAUAUUAUACAACAUGUAAUAGACUUCCUCCUGUACAUGAUGUACGAUUUUUGGAUUAACCUCGAGAUCCGACCCUGGCGUUGUACAUGACGUAGUAAUUGAUAAAUAACGGCAUGUGAACCAUCCAAAAAUUUAUAGAUGUCAAUCAAACGGUCGGAAUUUAAUGGCACAUUUCGGCUCAUAUAGAGAAUGACACACCUGAAACUCAGCCUAAAAAUUACGUACAGGCACUACAAAAAAUCAGCGUAUUUCUGGCGGCAAAUUCCGGCGGCUUGGCCGCCGGUAUAAUGGUUCCUGGCGGCCAAGCCGACGAGAUUCCAUCGCCGGAGUUGCUGUCGCCGGAAUGUUGAAGUACCGGCGUCCAAGCCGCCGGGAAAAAAUUUUGGAUUACGAUUUUCCGGCGGCCUGGCCGCUGGUUCACUUUUGAAAAAUUAAAAUUAAAAUUAAAAAUGAAAUUGAAAUUGAAAAUAAAAUUAAAAAUGAAAUUGAUAUUGAAAUUGAAAUUGAAUUUGAAGUUUAAUAAUUAAUUGAAAUUGAAUUUGAAGUUUAAUAAUUAAGUAACUUAUUUUCAGUAACAAAUUCAGUAAACCCCCAAAAAUUCAUAACCCCCCAAUAACUUAUUUUAAGCCCCAAUUAUAAACCCCCAAUUUCAUAAACCCUAAAUUAGAAGGAAAAAACUACAAUAACUACAAUAAAUUGGAAAGUAACCCCCAAAUAAAAAACCACCAAAUCAUAAACCCCAAAAUCAUAAACCCCCAAAUCAUAAACCCCCAAAUUAAAAACAACAAAAAAAGAAGNNNNNNNNNNNNNNNNNNNNNNNNNNNNNNNNNNNNNNNNNNNNNNNNNNNNNNNNNNNNNNNNNNNNNNNNNNNNNNNNNNNNNNNNNNNNNNNNNNNNGAGAGAAAUGGCCGGCCGGAUUAGAAGAAGGCUUCAAACUAAAAUAAAUUUAACAUAGAAAUUAAAUUUCACUAAAUUAACACUACAUAAACACCAAUAAAUACUACAAACAGUACAUAUAUCAUAUUAAAAUGAAACAGAAUUCCAAAAUUUAACUAUAUAUCAUUUUGGCAGGCAGAGCAUGUGCUAUGCAUAACUGCUGCUACUUUCGGAAUUCCAAAAUUGGAUCGUAUUAUUGAAGACCAUAGUGUAGUGUACAGAACAAUAAGAAUGGUAAAUACAAGUUAUAUAGAAGCAUCAAAGAAAAAUCACGUUAAUUUAACCAAAUAUGCAUAACUUGAUUUCAUUUUUCCAUACCUCACAUAUCAAAAAAACAUUUACAAACAUCAUUUUAAAUCCCAAUCAACCAAAAAUCCUAUUCAAAGCAAAAAUAAAUUCCAAUUCAAAGCAAAAAAACUUCAUUUUGUUGCUCUUACCUAUUCAAAGCAAAUCCUACAUUUUGUCCCACAUCGAUUUGCAUGAAUACGAAAAUUAAAAUUAAAAUCAACUUCAUUUUCAUUUUUACAUCAAAACAAUGUACCACACUUGAUUUUACAUGCUGUCAUAACAUUAAUAUUAUAAUGGAAUUGAUUUGCUAAACAAAAAAACUACAUCCUGAUUGCAACCAUUACAUACAUAAAAACAUGCACAAAUAUCAGGUCAAUUCCAUCAAAACAUGCACACCUUAAAAAGGAAUUUCAAUACCAUAGAUUGCAUAGAGUACGACACCCUAUCUAAAUGAAAAACAGUACAUAGAUUGCAAUACCAUAGAUUACAUAGAUUACAUGAGUACAAUACCAUAGACAUGCACAAUCUAGCCAUUACAUAGAUUGCAAAAAAAAAAAAAUCUUUCCACAUAGAGUACGACACCCUAAAAUCACAACUAAAUAUAUUAAAAUCACAAUUAAAAUCAAAACAGUACAUAUAUUACAAAUAAAGUCAAUUAACUAAAUCAAAUAUAAUUAACUAACUAACUAAAUCAAAUAUAAUCAAAACAGUACAUAAGUCAAUUAAUUAACUAACUAUAAUUAACUAAAAUAAACAAAACUAAAUCAAACCACCAAUAUCAAAACCCCUAAAUAAAACCCCCAAUAUCAAAACCCCUAAAAAGAGUAAAUCACAAUUACUAACCCCACAUCACAAAUUCCCAUCACAAAUUCACAAUGCAUGAUUUUUUUUUUAAAAUCAAAAGACAAAUCAUUGGAAAGUAUGAUUUAAAAUCAUAAACCCCCAAAUCACAAAUCAAAAGACAAAAUUAAUAUAAUUUAUAAAAACAGUAAAACCCUAAUCUAAAUUAACUAAAAUCAAUAAAUGAUAAAAAUAAACUAAAAACAGUAAAUAAACCCCCCUAAAUAACAUCAGUAAAUAAACUAAAUAAAAACCAACAAAUAAUAAACCUAACAUCAAUAAAUCAAACCUAAAUCAAACCCUAAAAUCUAACUACAAUAAAUCAACCUAACAUCUAACCAUAAAAUCAAACCCCCAAAUACAUAUAUAAGCCCCCAAAUAAUAAAUACAUAAACCCUAAAUGUCAUAAACCCACAAAUACAUGAACCCCAAUGUCAUACAACCAUAACCCCCUAAUUUAAUCAAAUAACAUACAUCAAAUGAAGAACAAAAUAGAAAAUGUAGAAGAAUAGAAAAAGAUAAUAAGAUAAGGAGAAGAUGAAGAAGUAGAACAUGAAGAUGAAGAUCAAGAAGGGGAGAUUAUUACCUUGGGGAGGAAUGGCCGGAGUGCUCAAUCAAACGCCCUUGGGGAGAACUUUCGAAACCUUGGGAGAAGUUUGGGAAAAUUUGGGAGAGUUUGGGAGAGUUUGGGAGAGUUUGGGAGAGUUUGGGAGAGUUUGGGAGAGUUUGGGAGAGUUUGGAGAAGUGAGGAAACCGUUGGGAGAAAUGAGAAAAGUCUGGAAAUUUUUUUCUUAUAUAAAAAUUUCCCGGCGGCCUGGCCGCCGGGAAAUACUUAAGUUUCGUUUGACUAAGUUUGACUGUACGGGGGACCACGGCGGCGCAAGUUGUAAUUUUAGGGUUUCCAAAAAAUCCUGGCGGCCAGGCCGCCGGCUACUGAAAAAAAUAAGCGGGAAAAAGUAUCCAGCGGCCAAGCCGCCAGCUAUUUUUCUCCCGACCAUUGAGGGUUUUAGUAUACCGGCGGCCAGGCCGCCGGAUCACUUCUUCCCGACCGUUGGUGAAAUUGACGCUGGCGGCCAGGCCGCUGGCAUUUUUUACAAAAAAAUAUUUCGUCGGCCUGGCCGCCAGAAAAUUUCUCUCAUUUACGAGGGAAAAUUAUGCAGGCGGACAAGUGUGACCUUCCGUCGGCCUGGCCGCCGGGAGAUGGGCGCCAGAACUGCGCUGGUUUUUUGUAGUGUCCCUUAGAAGCUUCUCCUCCAGAAAUUGCUAUAAUUUCCCCAAUGUUACCUCCAUCUUCCUCAUUUCUGACGGCAUGAUGCCCGAUCGGUGCCAUUGCCGUACGGUGUGCUAGAGGUCCUGGAGGUAUUUAUCGUGUUUGUAGAAGCUAGGUUAUGUAUCUCUUGUAUCUUCUCCAGUGCUCUCGCUAAUACCCAACAUUCAUCUGCUGUAUGACCUCUAUCCUUAUAAUAUUCGCAAUAUCUACUUGCGUCUCUAAAUAUCACCGUGUCUGCCCGCAUGGGCCGUGAUUCUGGUAGUGUUCCCCUGCCCCUCAAAUUUAAAAAUAUUUGUCUCUGAUUUGGUAGUGAUACUGGCCUUGGAGGUCCUUCUCUAUAGAAGCCUUCCACCGGGAGUCCUCUUCUAUAGGAAUUUUCUACGGGGGGAGCUUCCCUUGGUGGUCCAUCUCUAGAAUUUUUCGCAAACUUGUUUUCUUGUUGCCUGCUCUCUACUCUUGGUUGCCUCUGUUGAAAAUUUCUAUCAGACUGUCCUCUUUCCCUUUGUCGAAUAUGUUUAUAUUUUUCUUCAUGGUACUCCUCCACAUUCGACUCUUUGUAUGAUCUCUCCAUUGCCUCUGCGAAAGUUAUUGGCGGAUCCCGUACGAGGUCUCCCGAGAAUCUGGUUGGCCGCAACCCAUUGAUUAAUGCCAUCAAAAUUGCCUCCUCUGAGCACACAACUCUUUGUAUUGCCGCUGCAAACCGGUCCAUGUACUCGCGCGUUGAUUCUUGAUCCCCUUGCCUGACAGUAAGUAGUACAGUGUUCAACCCUUUCCUCCUUAUUUUAUGUCAGAACGCAACCUUAAAUGCUUUCUCAAGGUCCUCGAACGAAUUAAUACUUCUCGAUGACAGUUUCCUGUACCAACCCACUGCCUCUCCUUUAAGAGUUCUCCUAAACAUUCUACACCAUAUAUCCUUUCGCCUCGUUGUGUCCUCCAUUUCCGUACGGAAUGAAUGAAUGUGAUCUUCUGGGUCAGUAUUUCCUUCGUAUACUGUGAUUUUAGGGGUGCGCCACCCCUUCGGGUAUUCUUGUGACAGCAAAUGCUAUGCGAGUGCUUCCUCAUUUCCAGUCCGCGUGGGGUAAUUGUGCCGAUAAAAUUUCGUUUCUUCCUAAAAUUUGCAUGUAUCUAUCUGUCAUUAAUGUAGACAUUCUUUCUUGCAUCUGCCUCUGACUAUUUUCUAGUCCCGUUAUGAUUGAUAGAAGACGAGUAUUUUCUUCUUCUACUAUAUUUUAUUCUCUUCUUGGUUGUCUAUCCCUGUGCCGCUCGGGCGCGGUUGAGCGCGUUCUGCUUCGUUCCGGUGUACUAGAGUGUGCUUCGCUAUUUUGGUGUAUCCUGUUAACUGAUCGGAGAUUAUUCCCGGCUUGUUUUCGAGGAGUGCAAAGUUCCUACCUGGUGUCCUCAUAAAUUUUUCUGACCGAACAGUGAUUCUCCUGCGCGAUAGACGGUAUUUGAUUUUUACGGCCAACCGAUAGGGGCUGACUCGCGUCCGUUGUCGCCGUGAUUUCUAGAUUUUCUUCCGUCUGGUUAAUCCACUCUUGCUGCUCUGAAUCCAUUUCACGUCAGGUUCACCACUGAUGAUUUAGUAUUAAACCUAUACACCCUCUGUUCUCCCUUGUUCUAAUCGACCCCUCAGGGUAUUUAUACAUUUUCCUACUGAACUUACUGGACUGGGCUUCUACCGGGUUACAUCUUACCCAACCCAUAUGUGAAGACCCAACCUAAUUGGGUUAAAUUCGGCCCGUCUGGAGCCUACCCCACCCGUCUGGAUCCUACCCGACCCGUCUGGAUCCUACCCGACCCGUCUGGAUCCUACCCGACCCGUCUGGGUCCUACCCGACUUCCCUUACUAGGCCAUUUGGGCAUGUCAUCCUUGUUCCUGGGGCAGCCCUGGUUUGAUGGACCAGGGGUAUCAUCAUACAAGAAUUAUCACAUGCACUCAGCCUAGAGUGCGUUCAAAAGCGCUCACCCUAGUUAAGCCGUCUGAUCUUCUCCCUCCAUAUCUAGGCGGUCCUUUCAUUUAUAGUUUUUUAUAGUUUUUUAUAGUUUUUGUUGCACAGAUCUCGGUGUACAAUAUAUAUUUUUUCACUAUCUUACCUACCUAUGAUACCUACGUGUACCUUACCUAUGGCAGUACAUCACGUUUGCUUUUUUCACCUUAUCUGUCAUGACCUAUUCACGUACACUCCUUCGUACCAUCUUCUUUUUUUGAUUUUUUAACCUCGUCGGAUUCCUUUUUUUUUUUGAAAUUUUUCUUCAACACCCAUUCAUCUCCCUUGGUAUAUACCUCCAAUCUUUAUUCAACAAAAGUUUUUUUUUCUUUUCAUCUAAUAUUCGAAAAUAUCUAACAUUCUAACCGCAUGUUUCUCUAUUUUUCUCUCUAUUUUUCUUGCGUCAUAUGUUACUCUAAGUUUUUUUCUUUUCAUCUAGUACUUGAAAAUCUCUAACCGUCUAUUUCUCUAAUUUUCUUGUCAUCUCCUACUCUUCAUUUGCCAUCUCCUACUUGUGUCAUAUUUUUGUCGAAGUUCUGUGCAGUCUCGACGUUUUGCCUAAGUUAGUCAGACCUUUCUAAUGGGUUGUCCGGCAUUCUUAUCAUUUAAAAUGAUUUUCCAGCAUCCGACAACCGGCAUACGACAUUUAGUUUUGGUUCUAUCUAUUUGAUCGAUCAAUCCUCACCAAAUUAAGUGGGAGCAAACACUAAAAUAUAAAAACCAAAAGGAAAAACAAGAAGAUAAACCCAAGUGAUUAAUUUGGAUCUAUAGCAAAAGACUCCAAAACAUGAACCAGGAAGGAAGAGCGAGGAGCAUGAAACCAUGCAUCGACCACUCAUCUGAGAUCAAAGUAGAAAAAAACAAAGGAACGCUAAAAAUCCAAACAAACAAACGUACACCUCCAUUCAAACCGGAAAAGACUCCCAAAAUCAAUAAUCGAGACAGUCAAAUGGAAACGAAGGCUCGAAAAUAUAUAUAACCAACUAACACUGCGAAUUCUGCAGCUAGCUAGCAGUGGAGGGUACGUUGAGUAUAUAGAUAUGGACGGAAGGAAGGUAGGGAAGUAGCUAGCUAGAAGAUGAGGAAGAUGGGGAGGAGGAUGGGGUGGAAGGAUGAGGCGAAAAGGAGAUUGGAUAGGAAAAGGUGGAGAAUAAGGAGUUUCGGAAGACAUGUAAGCCUUAUUGAUGGAAAGUUUGAGGUCGGUCAGAACUUGGAUUGCUUCAAGUAAGAACCCACGUUUCCUCGCGCUCUCCACUUGAGAAAGAAAAGAAAAAACGUACAUACUCAAACACGACCAAGUGAAUUCAAACCACCGCCUCUUUAGAUUUACAGAGAGAAGAGAAGGAGAGUCUCUCAUCUUGACGAGAGUUGCGAUGGCACAAACCAAAAGAACAGAUUUCAGGGGAGGAAAAACAAAUCGAAAAAAGAAGAAAAAAAAUCACCUUGGUGUGUUUAUCCGGUUGACCAACUUCUGGUAUUCAUCCAAUGAUCCGGCCACUCCAUUUUGGAAGAGAGAAAGAAAAAAUCUGUUCUUGUUCCCUGAGCCGAAACCCACACCCAAACUCGCCGGAGAAGAGAAGACCAACGCGAUGGAGAGUCAAAAUUUAUACACACUUGAAAACUUGAUUCUUCAACUCGUCAAAACAGAAGACUUGAAAACCUUCUUGCCCAAUGAAGCAAAG